GAGAAUACGACUGUAAUUCAGUUUAACUUGCACAGGAAUUCAGACUUUGGCAGUUUAUUUUUUCUAUUGUAGCAUAGCAUUGGCGCGUGAGCGCGGCUGAUGACGGGAAUAAGCGGAGGUGGAGGAUAACAUACACAAGAACCAGUCAAAAUCCUCAAUAAGGAGUAAAGUAUAAGUGGGAUGUCUUGCGUGACAGAACGGAGAGCAGGCGACAUGAAGUCCAAGUGGACUGCUUCUCCCUGUGGCAACAGAUGACAAAGUUCUGGUAACAUUAAAAAUAAACCACAUGGACCAAUGUGCG